UGAAAAACCCACUUUUUUAUCCAUUAACACAGUGUGUUUCACAUUUUAAGUAUCUAAGUGAGCAAAAAGGCUUAUAUUAUUCACUGGAGUUGCUAUUUAGAUAUUUAAUAAUUAAGUUUUGGGCAUAUUUGUCCACCCGUUCAGUUUUUACAUAAUCUAUUACAUCAGUAAUUAAUUUAGUGAGGAUAACUACCAAAUAUGGUAAUGGCCCUCGGCUAAACACAGAGCCAAUCCGCCAUUUUUUCUUCUCGCUAAGAUUUUUUGUAGUCCUAUUGGAAAAAUGCAGAAUGUCUGGUUAUUUUAGCCACACACAGCUCAAAACUGUUCCUCGUUUUAAGGAAGGGUGGUGUGGCAGUAUUUAAACCCAGGAGCUGAUGACACUACUGCUAAAAAAACACAGAAGAAAAAGUAGUGUGUUUGUGUUUGUGUUUGUGUGUGUGUGUGUGUGUGUGUGUGUGCGUGUGUGCGCGCGCGUGGUUCGUUCUUUCGUGUCUUCAGGCUAGUAAGUACUGAGGGCUUCAUCUAUCUAAAAGGAGUCAUUUUUAUCUGAAUGUGGCAGCACCGGGACACAGCAGCAGAGCGAAUAUGACGAUGACAUCAUGGAACUGGUCUUUGGAAAAGUUUUCCCUGAACCAACUCCGUUUCUAGAUGAGGUAGAGAAGAUCUGCAUCUCACCAACUCUCUGGUCUCAGUAUUCAGACAACGGAGGUCUCCCACUGUUAUCCAGGACCAGUUUGAAGCCCACAUACUGCCCCUCCCUCAUCAUCAGGAAACAUCAAUCCGUAUCCUGAGGACAACAGAAGACGGCAGGAGGACAGGAACUCUGAGACCUAGACACCACCAGCACCGAGACACAAAGCACCUGUGUGCACAACGCCUGUUUUAACUACUAAAGCCUGUUUAUUAUAUUGUUCUACUUAUUUGCUGUGAGGUUAAUACUUAGAAAAUUUGUAUAUUAAUGUAAACAAUUAAAAAAAAUCACUGAUUGUAUGUUUUCUUUUAGAUGUAAUGGUCCAAACUCAGCCUUGUAGACAUUUAUUGCAUCCUGUAGGUAAAUACACAGAACAGGCUCAGGUCCAGGAUGACCCAGCAUGCUCUUCUUCCAUUCUGGCUGUUAGGGAUUGUAUCAAUAACUCAAUGCCUACUGAUGUUUUCACCUAACGGUAUUUAUUUAGAAUGCAGGUAAGAUUUAACUAUAUUUGUUAGCAAAGCAGACUGAUCUUGGGAAUUUCACUGCAGCACUGAUGUCCACCUCUCUGUACACAUUAGAGAGAAUUACCACUUUACAGCUAAACACAUUUAAUAAAGAUAUAGGCUACGCAUUGCAGACAAUAAAAACAAAGUUGUAAGCAUUAGAAUUAUAAUGAUCACAUUAAAGAACAUUUGGAGGAA